GGGGUCUCGGGUCACGUGACAGGCGGCCCAAUCGCACUCGCGCGACGGAAAGCGCCACGGACGUCGGAGGCCCAGGGGGCGGGGCUCCCGAGCUCCGCUCUUUCGUGGUCGGGCGGCGGACCGCACUGUAUUUUUUCCUUCCGGGGGCGGCGGAGCCCAGGGCUAUCCCGGCCUCCGCUCAUACCCGGAGGGCCGGCAGGCGUUCAGUCCUCCAGCCGGUGAGGCUCGGGCCGGGGUGUCGGGACCGCCUGAACACGCGGGCUCUGGGAGCUUCAGGGACCAGGGAGCCACCUCGGCCGAGUUGCGUCGCAGACUACAGCUCCCAGCAUGCGCCGCCGCUCCCAGCAUGCACCUUCCUCCCGAAACGCGUCUCUGCUUCCGGCGCUCUGCUGCGGAGGCCGUGGCCGCGGGUAGUUGGGAGGAACCGAGAUUUACGCUUGGCCAUUUUACUCAGCCUCGGACUAUCAAGGAUGGUCACAUUGAAGCUGUUUUUCUGCAGUCAGGAGCGAAAAGUCCCGGCUGUUGAAGGAGAAACUGAAUCUGGUUCAGGAGUCCCAGGUUCCUCCCUCUGAGAGGCCAGGUGGGGCCUGCGUGAGUAGCAGUUGUUCAGGUGGCAGGACACUGCUGUUUUCAUCCCACCUGGCCCCAGGCCCCUGAUUAGGGGCCCAGAGUGCUUAUGUACUUGCCUCGGUCUGAGAAAGGGAGUGACUGCAUAGCCCAACACCUGUGGGAUGCCUCACUGCCCAGAUGUUUCAUCUCCGGGAUGCUUCAUUGCCCAUUCAGCACCCUCUAUGGUGCUGACUCUUCCGGAAGAUGUUUCUGAUUCCUUGCUAGGCUGGUGGUUGCACCAUAGCUGAGAGGACUCAAGAAGAGCCUGGUCUCAGCUUCACCUAGGAGUCCCGGAGGAGUAAGAAACACGUAUCUUUCCUGUUCUGGGCACAUAUGGGUGGGUAGCAGAGCUGAGGCUAGCUGAGGAUCCCGACUCUCCUUUGGGAGCCUUUGUUGUGCCGCUCUCCCAGGCUGAUCAGAUCUGGAGAGCUAACAGCUUCCUGUGGCCACAUCUGUGUCCAAGGCUGGGCCCAUGCCUGUAGCCAGAUUGCCAGGAUCUGGAAGGGGCCAAGAGACAGCUGGUGCUGGGUAGGCAGCAGCCCUGUGUCAACCUGCCCCCACUAUUACCCCAUGCUGUGAUUUGCAUGUGGUCUGCCCCUGCCCAAAAUGGUAUUGAAAUUUGAGCCUCAAUGAGGCAGUGUUAGGAGGUGGUGCCUAGUAGGAGGAGUUUGGGUAAUAGGGGUGGAUCCCUCAUGGAUAGGUUAGUGUCCUUUGUGGAGGGGUGAGUUCCCAUGAGAGCUGGUUAGAGAGUCAGCCUUCCUGCGGUUGUCUCUUGCUUCCUCUCUCGCCAUAUGGCCACGUAAUCUCUUUGUGCAUGCCUCUCCCCUUCUACUUGCUGCCUUGAGUUGAAGUAGCAUGAGGCCCUCACCAGGUGCAGCUGCCCAAUCUUGAAAUUUCCACCAGAAUUUUGAGCCAAAUAAACCUGUUUUGCUUUUUUAAAAAAAUAAAUUCCCCCACCUUGGCUGGGCGCAGUGGCUCACGCCUGUAAUCCCAGCACUUUGGGAGGCCGAGGCGGGCGGAUCACGAGGUCAGAUCGAGACCAUCUUGGCUAACACGGUGAAACCCCAUCUCUACUGAAAAAAAAAAAGAAACAAAAAAAUUAGCCAGGUGUGGUGGCGGGCACCUGUAGUCCCAGCCCCUCACUCGGGAGGCUGAUUGAGGCAGGAGAAUGGUGUGAACCCGGGAGGCGGAGCUUGCAGUGAGCCCAGAUCGCACCACUGCACUCCAGCCUGGGCGACAGAGCGAGACUCCGUCUCUAAAUAAAUAAAUAAAUAAAUAAAACAAACCCAACCUCAGGUAUAGCAGUGUGAAACAGACUAAGACAUUCCACAUGCCCUGUGGUCCCAUCUGCUACCCCAGGGUGCAAAGAUGUUCCCUCAGCCCUGAAGAAUGACAUUCCCCCCGGCUCCUGGGAUAUCUGGAGGGGUUGUAAGCAGCUUGGGUUGGUGAGAUAAGGAGUUUGGGGGGCAGCUGAUUCAUGACCCUGGCCUCCUCAACUGCAGGCUCUUGGUCUGAAGUACUGUAAUUAAAGUAUGAGAGCCUCGGGGCCCUCACUUCAAGGAGGGAAGAGCAUCCCCAUGCCUCAGCGUUUGGGGAUUGUAGGGAGAUGAGAGUCCUUCAGGUGGGACUAGUUCCCGCCAUGACCCCACUGCUGGCCAGUGGCCUGAAACGCAUCUGACCACUUCUCAGGUUCAUGGGUGUUGAGGAGGAGCCCUGUGGAAUCAACCCUGUCUGCCUCCUCUUAUCCUGCCACUCCUCUUGCUCUGUCUGGAUGACUGCCCUUGUUUUUCAAGGGAAUGUUCCCUGUCUUCCUCAGCCAGGAUUUUUUCUGAACUUGACAUCUCCGUUUGUUCAGGGGGCAAUCAUUGGGCACUUCACUGUGCUGGUCCUUGCAUUCUCAUGGAGAUGCAGAGAUUAAAAAUUAGUAUCUUGUCCACAUACUGCCCAGAGUUAGCAAGGAUUGCUUUUCUGUGGAUUUGUCUCAGGUCGGGCACAGUGGGGGUAGGGUCCUUCUCGAACCUUUUCCUAGCCUAAAGGUUCCAGCUGAAUCUUCCCAGGCAGGGCUGAAACAGGAACCAUUUUAGGCUUUGCUGCAACCCAUGGUCAGUUCUCCAAGAAAAGUGAAGAGGGUUCCACCUGGGGCAGCCCUCAAGGGCUCAGAGGGCCAAAACACACGUACAACAUGUUGAGACACUGAGUUUGUGCGAUCCCCACACAUCUCAGCAGUGAGUAUUUCUGCCUCAUUUUACCGAUGAGGAACCUGAGCUUCAAAGGGAAGAGGUGACAGCUCAGGACCACACAGCUGUAGGUAGGAGGCAGGAAAAUAGGGUCUGAGUGCAGGGAACAUAGGCUGAUUCACACUUCAGUUAUGAUAGGAAAUACCUUCUCCAUAGGACAUAGGCCAAGCAAAUGACUUUGUAACUUCAUCCUCUCCAUCUGCAUAACGUGUGCCCCAAGUAACCAAUGGAAUCACCUAGAGGGUGUUUAAACUCUCAGAAGUUCUGUAACAGGCUCUCCAUCUACAUAACGUGUGCCCCAAGUAACCAAUGGAAUCACCUAGAGGGUAUUUAAACUCUCUGAAGUUCUGUAACAGGGCUUUUGUGCUCCUAUGCUCAGGCUCACCCCCACACUGUGGAGUGUACUUUCAUUUUCAAUAAAUCCCUUCAUUCCUUCUUUGCUCUCUGUGUGUGUUUUGUCCAAUUCUUUAUUUAAGACGCCAAGAACCUGGACAUCCUCCGCUGUUAACAGUAGGACGCAUCAACUCCUUAGAGUUGGGGCAGCCAGCAUAAAAGGAGGCUGACCUCAG
rnacentral:lncRNA from 10 species